rnacentral:rRNA from 1 species
CUUGGUCAUUUAGAGGAAGUAAAAGUCGUAACAAGGUUUCCGUAGGUGAACCUGCGGAAGGAUCAUUAUUGUAUAACAGAGGUGCCGGGGCUGUCGCCGACUUUGUGCACGCCCCGGUGCUCUCUCACAAUCCAUCUCACCCCCUUUGUGCAUCACCGCGUGGGCGCUCUCCUUUUGGUUCAUUCUAAAAAGGGGGCGUUUGCGUUUUUAUACAGACCACCGCAUGUGUAGAAUGUCUUACUAUUUGCGAUAACACGCAAUCAAUACAACUUUCAACAACGGAUCUCUUGGCUCUCGCAUCGAUGAAGAACGCAGCGAAAUGCGAUACGUAAUGUGAAUUGCAGAAUUCAGUGAAUCAUCGAAUCUUUGAACGCACCUUGCGCCCCUUGGAAUUCCGAGGGGCACACCCGUUUGAGUGUCGUGAACAUCCUUCAACCUUUCCUGGUUUCUUGACCGGGGAAGGCUUGGACUUUGGGGGUUUUUCAUUGCUGGCCUCCCUUGAAGCCAGCUCCUCCUAAAUGGAUUAGUGGGGUCUGCUUUGCCGAUCCUUGACGUGAUAAGAUGUUUCUACGUCUUGGGUUUCGCACUGUCGCUUCAGACCCCGCUUCAAACAGUCUUGCAUCUAAGACAGAGUUUUAUAAACCUUGACCUCAAAUCGGGUGAGACUACCCGCUGAACUUAAGCAUAUCAAUAAGCGGAGGAAAAGAAACUAACAAGGAUUCCCCUAGUAACUGCGAGUGAAGAGGGAAAAGCUCAAAUUUAAAAUCUGGUGGCUCUUCCGCCAUCCGAGUUGUAAUUUAGAGAAGCGUCUUCCGCGCUGGACCGUGCAUAAGUCUCCUGGAAUGGAGCGUCAUAGAGGGUGAGAAUCCCGUCUUUGGCACGGACCCCCAGGGCUUCUGCGAUGCGCUCUCGAAGAGUCGAGUUGUUUGGGAAUGCAGCUCAAAAUGGGUGGUGAACUCCAUCUAAAGCUAAAUAUUGGCGAGAGACCGAUAGCGAACAAGUACCGUGAGGGAAAGAUGAAAAGCACUUUGGAAAGAGAGUGAAACAGUACGUGAAAUUGUUGAAAGGGAAACGCUUGAAGU